UUACCUACGUGGGUCCGAAGCUGUCGCCGACCUGCGCGGGGCGGAAGUCCCGCUGGACUGCCUCCUGGUAGGGAAGUCUCUCCGGCGUCAGGAAGCUGGAGAGCCACACCUGCCGCGGAGGUUACAGUCGGUAAAGUAGAGCGGCGACACGAACUUCUCCACCCGCUCCAGCGUGGUGCGCCAGUGCUUCAAGGCCGGCGCAGCCGCCAUCGUACUAAAUCUGAAGCCACAGUACUAUGGUACACAAGAAGCUAGAGCAGUUAUGCUAGCACAUCAAAGCAUAUUUCUUUUAAUAAAAAAUUGACAGUAUGUAACCUCAAAGCGUUCAUCUUCACAACGAUAAAUAUGUUCUUCAUAUUGAGUCUUCUUGGAACUCACAAAGGUAGAGUCCUCAGACCACGAAGGGAAGGAAACCCAGG
rnacentral:lncRNA from 1 species